GUGGGGAAUCUUAGACAAUGGGGGAAACCCUGAUCUAGCCAUGCCGCGUGAGCGAUGAAGGCCUUAGGGUUGUAAAGCUCUUUCAGCUGGGAAGAUAAUGACGGUACCAGCAGAAGAAGCCCCGGCUAACUCCGUGCCAGCAGCCGCGGUAAUACGGAGGGGGCUAGCGUUGUUCGGAAUUACUGGGCGUAAAGCGCGCGUAGGCGGACCAGAAAGUUGGAGGUGAAAUCACAGGGCUCAACCUUGGAACUGCCUUCAAAACUCCUGGUCUGGAGUUCGAGAGAGGUGAGUGGAAUUCCGGGUGUAGAGGUGAAAUUCGUAGAUAUUCGGAGGAACACCAGUGGCGAAGGCGGCUCACUGGCUCGAUACUGACGCUGAGGUGCGAAAGCGUGGGGAGCAAACAGGAUUAGAAACCCGGGUAGUCC
rnacentral:rRNA from 1 species